UACGAAGGGGCUAGCGUUGUUCGGAAUUACUGGGCGUAAAGCGUGCGUAGGUGGUUUGUUAAGUCUGUUGUGAAAGCCCCGGCUCAACCUGGGAAUGGCAAUGGAUACUGGACAGGCUAGAGUGCGGUAGAGGGUAGUGGAAUUCCCGGUGUAGCGGUGAAAUGCGUAGAGAUCGGGAGGAACACCAGUGGCGAAGGCGGCUACCUGGACCAACACUGACACUGAGGCACGAAAGCGUGGGGAGCAAACAGG
rnacentral:rRNA from 1 species